CGUGCUUACACAUGCAGUCGAACGAUGAAGCCAGCUUGCUGGUGGAUUAGUGGCGAACGGGUGAGUAACACGUGAGUAACCUGCCCUUAACUCUGGGAUAAGCCUGGGAAACUGGGUCUAAUACCGGAUAUGACUCCUCAUCGCAUGGUGGGGGGUGGAAAGCUUUUUGUGGUUUUGGAUGGACUCGCGGCCUAUCAGCUUGUUGGUGAGGUAAUGGCUUACCAAGGCGACAACGGGUAGCCGGCCUGAGAGGGUGACCGGCCACACUGGGACUGAGACACGGCCCAGACUCCUACGGGAGGCAGCAGUGGGGAAUAUUGCACAAUGGGCGCAAGCCUGAUGCAGCGACGCCGCGUGAGGGAUGACGGCCUUCGGGUUGUAAACCUCUUUCAGUAGGGAAGAAGCGAAAGUGACGGUACCUGCAGAAGAAGCGCCGGCUAACUACGUGCCA
rnacentral:rRNA from 1 species